GUUUUCUUUUUCGAGAAGAUUGGGUGGUGUGGUCAUUGUUAUUUUCGAAAAAGAACAGAAGACAACAACAUUAGCGGCAGAGGACGAUCAGAAGACGAAUUUGGAGCAUCUUUGAAGCUGUUCAAGUUGUUCGGAAGCUGUCGGUUCGAGUUUGAAGCACAAGUGGUUCGUAAAACAUUAGUUUUUCGUAUCUAUUUUGUUUUGAACCAUGAUUUCUUUCGUUUCCAGAUUUUGUUCAGUUGUAUUAUUGAUUAAUAUGAGUAGCUAAAUUUCUAAACUAUCUAGGUUGAGAUGAACUAGUGAUUGUGGCGGUGUUUUGACUUGGUUUUGGCUAUUUUAUGCGUUUAGGGACGAAGAAAUUCACCCUAGACUUAGGAUUUAAUUUGAAUCGGUUAAUCUUAGGGUUUUUCGGUUCGAAUAUUGAGUUUAGAAAUAAACCAAGUUAAUCAAUAGUUAAAAUCAAUAACUAAAACUUGCAUCCUCACCUUUUGACUCGAGAGACGAUUUAGGUGUGCUAGGUUAUUAGCUAAUCGUUGUUGGGUAGAUUGGGUGACCGAUAGCUCGGGCUUGUUUAUUUCAUCGCGUUUAGGGUUUCCUAGGAUUUCAAUUAUCAAGGUUGGGUUUGCUUCGCGAAUAGAGGGUUUUGGAGGUAAUUUAGCUUUCAUUAUUUAAUAUUCGUGGGAUUUGGUAUCGAUAGGUCGAGCCGGUUCGUUCUAGCACUUCGCAUUUCGUCCUUAUCUUUCGGUUAAUCAUCUCUAGCGAGAGGUUACUCGGGUAAAUUAGGAUAUUUAGCCAUUACCAUAGUCAAGAUAGCGUUGCAUGAUUCUAGGGAUUCGAUACCUAGGUAGUCUUUUCUCAUUAUAUUUGUUCUACACUGUGCUCCCAAGUUCGCGUUUGGUUUGAGUCGCUUGUCUUGUUUUCUUCACUUUCUUAAUUAAUUAGGUUAUUAGUUAAUCAUCAAAACAAACUUAAAAAUUGACUUUGUAUUCGACAACGGUUCAUUAUCUAUAGUUUGUGUCACGCCCCCCGACCCACCCUGGACGGAAUCGGGAGCCGCGAGCAGUCCAGUGGUACCUGUGGUAUCUGAUUUAUGCGGCAGCGGAAGUCUUUUAUUAUAGGAUCUUUUCACCGUAAAAAAAAUAAUGCUCGUUUAAUAUAUUAUACAAAGUUUUAGGGAUAAAUUCCCAUAAUUUACAAUACGUUGAUUCCACACAGAAAUCAUUAUUUGCCAAAACAUGUUUUAUUUAUUUAUUCACAAUGAGCCACUUCUCUGAGCUUGUAGUGCUUUACUGCACUUUUCCUGGGUCACACAGAUCACCUAAAACAUGUUUGAAAAAGGUUUUGUCAGCGGGGAAAUACUGAGUGAAUCAUUCUGUUUUCUAAAACGAUCCGUUAGUUAUAAAUUACAGUAUUAAGGGGAAUUACAAUGUUUCUGAUAUCAAACCAACUACCCACAGUAUUUGUCACUCGACCAACCAUUGGCUAGCCCAUUUGUCCAAUGGUGUCUGUGACUAUGGUCAGAUCACCCCUUGGCCACCCGUUUGUCCAAGUGUGACGGGAAAUAAGUAAUGUAUACAAAACCCCACAUACCGGCUGUAAUAUGGUGAUUACAUAGACUUAAUCCCUGUAAUUAUAACCUUUGAAAAUAACUUGGAGUUUUGUAAACUUACUCACAAACUGUGAGAAAACAGUUUAAAAGAAGAAUGACUCACAUUGCAGAUUAACGAGCAAUAGAUAUAAGCCUACUGAUUAGCCUUGAUUAAACCUAGUUUAACACAAUGCACACACAGGCAGGUUAGUAACUAAUACAGCAGUUACGUCAAUUCACGAGAUUAAACUCUCACAACGAUUAAUCAGUGCAAUACUCGAUAAUUCAGUCGGAUUCACAACGAAUAACAGAGCAUAGUCCGAAUUCGAACAGCACUCUAAUAUUCAAGUCGAAAUCACGACAAAUAAUCAAAGUACAAGCUCAAUUCGAGCAGCACCCGGACUAUCGUUGGAUAGUUAUAAUCGAUCGGACGUUGAAUCGUAAUAGCGAUCGAGUUAUUACCCUGAUUGCGGCAGCACCUCGUGAUCGUGUGUGUGUGUGUUGUGAACUGUAUUGCAUGUAACUCGACGUACACACAGAAGUUUUACGUCGUUUUAAGUUCACAGUUUAAGUGCCAAGGUCGGCUAUUUAUAGCCAGAAUUUCCCUUUGCCUACGGACCAUAUGCCUUAACCCUUACGGUCCGUAAGGCUGACGGGUAUGCUUACGGUCCGUAAGGACCAACCCUUACGGUCCGUAAAGGGUUCAGCCUAUUUCCUAGCCUAGCUGAGUUCGGUUAUAGCCUUGGUGAAUCAACAUUUUCAACAAAUAAGAACUGUGCAACGUUUUAAUAAAGAUAAUUAUCAAUUAGGGUUUGCCCCUCUCGAGUUUUAGGGGCCCUGAUCCUGAUUCCGAUUGUUCCGGAAAUUUCAGGGUUUGCGCCAAAUUACUUGGGUGUUUUAAUUAGGGUUUUCUUAUUGGAUAAUUAUUAUUCUAAUUACCAGUUUUAUUGACGGUUGUUACAUCCUCC
rnacentral:lncRNA from 1 species